UUCAUGUAUGCUUUCUGUUCCAGUUACAGUAGCGGUAGCCGUUUAUUCAGUAUAGUUCUUACUUCCUUUCAGUUUAUCGCUAUUGUAUAUCUGCUCAUUACCUUGUUUAUUUCCACUGACCCGUGUUGUUGUAUAGUUCUUCCUGAUCCGGUGAGUACUCCUCGUCUUCUUCGGCUUGCUGUACCCACUGGGAGGGGAGACAUGUUUGCAUGUUCUCACCUCCCCCACUAUUUUUCAGGUAUCGCGGGCGUUGAGUAGUGGGACGAGACGUGAGGUACGUGUGUAGCCGUCGAUAAAGCUUCGACCCAGGUUAUUUCGAUUUAGCUAUUACCCUUUUUAUUUCUGUGGAUAUAUAUAGCUUAGUCGGUUUACAUGGUUCAGUUUUGUUUUAUUAUUUGAAUAUCUGAGUUUUUAGUUGGUUUUGGAAUGUAAUAAAGGAAUUAUGUUUUCUUGAAAUAAAAGGUUUUCUACCCCUCGUGGUAGCGUUUCUUUAAGGAACAAAGGUUUCCGUGUAGGAAACAGUUUUCAAAAGGUUUUCUGUGGAUAUUUCAUAUUAGUAUUUCAAAACCUGUUUCUGUGGUUGGAAACAUUUUAACUGAUAGAUGUGAAUUUAUGUUUAAAUAUUGAAUGUAUAAAUGUGAACCUGUGAUGUGAAUGGUGCAUGAAUAUAUAAUCGUUGGUUAUUUGUAUGUUCAUUUGGUUGUGGUUGUACCUGGGUUACUUCUUGUACUUGUGUGACGCUGUGCAAAUACAGGAGAGACUCUGUCCGUGUGAACAGUGGAUUCCCUGUGUUUGUGGCGGAUUUGGCAUACUCUAGGGUCAGGCUUUUAAAAAAUAAUAAUAAUA
rnacentral:lncRNA from 1 species